CAAGGAGUCUAACAUGCGCGCGAGUCGUCGGGUCGGACACGCUCCGCUAAACCCGCAGGCGCAAUGAAAGUGAAGGCCGCCCUUCAGCGGGGCCGAGGGAGGACGGGGGCCCCNNNNNNNNUCGANNNNNNNNGGGCCCCCCGCACUCCCGGGGCGUCUGAUUCCUCACUGCGAGGGGAGGCGCACCCAGAGCGCACACGUUGGGACCCGAAAGAUGGUGAACUAUGCCUGGCCAGGACGAAGUCAGGGGAAACCCUGAUGGAGGUCCGUAGCGAUUCUGACGUGCAAAUCGAUCGUCGGAGCUGGGUAUAGGUGCGAAAGACUAAUCGAAC
rnacentral:rRNA from 1 species